ensembl:lincRNA
CCAAGGCUGGUCUUGGAUUUACCAUCCUCCUGCCUUAGCCUCCGAGUACUGGGAUUACACUGUGCAUGGUUAGGUUUAAAUUUCUGAACUGCAAGACUGCUUUUUUGAUGAAAUCAAAUUUAUCUGUAUUUCUUGGUUGAAUUAGGGAUGCUAACUUCUUUUUCUUUUUUUUGAAACAGGGUCUCAUUGGGCUGGGGAUAUAGCUCAGUGGCAUAAGUGCCUGCCUGGCAAGCGCAAGGUGGUGAGUUCGAUCCCUGGUACCGCAAAAAAAAAAAAAAAAAAAAAAAAAGAAACAGGGUCUUGCUAUGUAGCUCAGGCUAGCUUUGAACUCACUAUGUAGCUCAGGCUGGCCUCCAACUCAAGGCGAUCCUCCUGCCGCAGCCUCCCAAGUGCUGGGAUUAUAGGCAUGUGCCGCCACACCUGGCUGGGAGCUAACUUAUUAAAACUUUCCAACAAUCACAUGAUUGUGAUUAGUAUACCCAUUUUUCAGAUGGGAGCUGAGGCAAAGAAAAGCCAAGUACCUCACCAGAGCUGGGAUCUGCAGGACCCCAGGAAGAAAGGGAAACCCUUUGGAAAACAAUGCAACUGCCCAUGCCCAGAUCCGUAAAGGCACCCCCGGCCUUGAAGCCAGCUUCUCACUCCGGGCAGCAACCUCAGGAAAUAAUCCAAAUGCAGGAAGAGGCGAUAUCCAUACACACAUUCCCGGCAGCAUUAUUCAUAGUAGGAAAAAUCAGGCAGCCGUGUAAGUGCCUCACAUUAGGGUAAUGAUUAUUAAAUUAUUCACUCAUUGGAACCUUGUGCAACAAUUAAAAUGGAAAAGAUGAUGAUUGGAGAGCAAUGUGGAAAAUUGCUCAUGAACAAUGAGACACGAAAGGAGCAGAAUGCAAAAUUAGACCUGCGCCAGGACAAGGACCAGAAAGAAAUGCAGCCAAAGAAAACUGCGUUGGGCCAAAGACCCUCAGUGAUUUUCUGUUUCUUCUUCAUUUCGCAUCUGUCUCAGGAUAAUUAAAAAUUUGUUUUAAAAAUCCACCCCAGUGAACAGAAGGGAAGGCAGGGCGAAGAUGGGAGCAGGUCUGACAGGAGAAAUUCAAAGGUGAUUUACAGACUCGGCCAGCAGUUCCGGCUCUGUCUUCUGCCUGUGAGGGCCCGCAUCUCCUUUGCCCUUGGCCUUGCUGGUGAUUGGUGAUCAGAUGGACCCCACGCACUGCCCAAUGAAGCCAGAGUUCAGAAUGCUCUUGCUGAGCAUGGUGGUGCAUGCCUGUAAUCCCAGCGCUGGGGAGGCUGAGGCAGGAGAAUCACAAGAUCAAGACCAUGUAGUGAGACCUUGCUUCAAAAAACUAAAAAGCAGGACACAAACAUACAACUGACAAGGAAAAACGCCCACCACAUAUUAGGUAAAAGAAGGCUCCAAAGCAAGAUAUGCAUCAUCCCUCCUUGGUAAGAUUGUAUAUGUAAUUGUGUUCGUUGCAUGUAAGAAUUUCUGUAGAUACACAUCACAGUCUUACGUGGUUAACAUUUGAGCCGCGGGUUUAAAAUUGUACCCAUCACUUUGGUCUCAAUUGUGCUGUACAACUGACCUGAAAAUCUCCUGGUUUACAGCGGUCCAUGUUAAUUUCUCUCUUGCUCUACUACAGCUGGGGGUGCGGGGAGGAUGAUGGACAGUUCUGUUCCGGAAGUGGGUGAUGCCACAGAGACGGAACCUGGUAACGUAGGUUUUCACUGUCAGAGAAGCCCAAGGAGGGGAAAUAGAUGGAUUCCUCAUACGCAUGGGUUCCCGGGCUCCAAAUCUGCUGAUUGGUGGUUUUGUUGUUGCUACUGUUUUGAGACAGGUUCUUGCUAGACAGCCCAAGCUGCCCUUGAACUCAUGAUCCUCCUGCCUCAGCCUCCUGAGUAUUGGGAGUACAAGUGUGUGCUACCAUGCCUGACAUGAUGGAAAAAACUGCAUCUGUACUAAAUGUGUACAGGCUUUUGUUUCUUGUUAUUAUUCUGUGAACACUAAAGUCUAACCACUAUCUACAUAGCAUUUGCCCUGCAUUGGGCACUGUAAAUCAGAGAUGAUUUAAAGCAAACACCAAACCAUGUACGAGAUUUGAGUUUGGUAUCCGAGGGGAGCCUGGGACCAGUCCCCUCCCCCACAUACAGAGGGAUAUGACUGGAUACACACAGAGCGCAAGCUAUCCAGCACCGCACAGAAAUGGUGGCUCCGGGCCCCAGGCAGAGGCCACAAAGAGGUCAGGAUUUUGCCUAAUUUAAGAGGCAGGCCAGCGCCUGCCCGGCAAGCGCGAGGUCGUGAGUU